rnacentral:rRNA from 1 species
AGAGUUUGAUUCUGGCUCAGAACGAACGCUGGCGGCGUGGAUAAGACAUGCAAGUCGAACGAGAGAAUUGCUAGCUUGCUAAUAAUUCUCUAGUGGCGCACGGGUGAGUAACACGUGAGUAACCUGCCCCCGAGAGCGGGAUAGCCCUGGGAAACUGGGAUUAAUACCGCAUAGUAUCGAAAGAUUAAAGCAGCAAUGCGCUUGGGGAUGGGCUCGCGGCCUAUUAGUUAGUUGGUGAGGUAACGGCUCACCAAGGCGAUGACGGGUAGCCGGUCUGAGAGGAUGUCCGGCCACACUGGAACUGAGACACGGUCCAGACACCUACGGGUGGCAGCAGUCGAGAAUCAUUCACAAUGGGGGAAACCCUGAUGGUGCGACGCCGCGUGGGGGAAUGAAGGUCUUCGGAUUGUAAACCCCUGUCAUGUGGGAGCAAAUUAAAAAGAUAGUACCACAAGAGGAAGAGACGGCUAACUCUGUGCCAGCAGCCGCGGUAAUACAGAGGUCUCAAGCGUUGUUCGGAAUCACUGGGCGUAAAGGGUGCGUAGGCGGUGUGGUAAGACUUAGGUGAAAUCCCUGUGCUCAACGCAGUGGGCUGCCUAAGAGACUGCCAUGCUGGAGUAAUGGAGGGGGAACCGGAAUUCUCGGUGUAGCAGUGAAAUGCGUAGAUAUCGAGAGGAACACUCGUGGCGAAGGCGGGUUCCUGGACAUUAACUGACGCUGAGGCACGAAGGCCAGGGGAGCGAAAGGGAUUAGAUACCCCUGUAGUCCUGGCAGUAAACGGUGCACGCUUGGUGUGCGGGGAAUCGACCCCCUGCGUGCCGGAGCUAACGCGUUAAGCGUGCCGCCUGGGGAGUACGGUCGCAAGAUUAAAACUCAAAGAAAUUGACGGGGACCCGCACAAGCGGUGGAGUAUGUGGCUUAAUUCGAUGCAACGCGAAGAACCUUACCUGGGCUUGACAUGUAAUGAACAACAUGUGAAAGCAUGCGACUCUUCGGAGGCGUUACACAGGUGCUGCAUGGCCGUCGUCAGCUCGUGUCGUGAGAUGUUUGGUUAAGUCCAGCAACGAGCGCAACCCCUGUUGCCAGUUACCAGCACGUGAAGGUGGGGACUCUGGCGAGACUGCCCAGAUCAACUGGGAGGAAGGUGGGGACGACGUCAGGUCAGUAUGGCCCUUAUGCCCAGGGCUGCACACGUACUACAAUGCCCAGUACAGAGGGGGCCGAAGCCGCGAGGCGGAGGAAAUCCUAAAAACUGGGCCCAGUUCGGACUGUAGGCUGCAACCCGCCUACACGAAGCCGGAAUCGCUAGUAAUGGCGCAUCAGCUACGGCGCCGUGAAUACGUUCCCGGGUCUUGUACACACCGCCCGUCACAUCAUGGAAGCCGGUCGCACCCGAAGUAUCUGAAGCCAACCGCAAGGAGGCAGGGUCCUAAGGUGAGACUGGUAACUGGGAUGAAGUCGUAACAAGGUAGCCGUAG